rnacentral:misc_RNA from 1 species
UAAGCAAAGACUAGACCAAUUGACCUUUUUUUUUUUGAGAAAAACGCAACCCAACUCGCAUUGAUAUCGUUCUCUAAUAUCCCAGCCAUGUUAACACAUGAAAUUAUUCUGUAAGAGAAUGGACAAAAGCAAAUUUCUACUCAAGAAUUUCAUCUGCUUCAAUGACAAACAAAUAAGAAAAGGUCAAUUGGUCUAGUCUUUGCUUAAACCACUGCAAAAAUCCUGAAGACAAAUGAAAACAAGUACUCCUCAAUCUUUUAUAUGUGAAUGGCCUUGUCAUGAGUGGCCAUGGCAGCUUCCUUCAAUGCCUCACUCAUUGUUGGAUGUGCAUGGCACACACG